CUCCCUCCCGGGCAUGGUCCUGAACGGCCUGAACUCUACAAGUAGUCCGAGUUCUCAGGGUGAACCAAGGGGGGACAGAUGUUGGGCACACACCAGGUGGGCCGGAAGAGAACGAUCCGGAAAAGGGGAGUGACCUGAUUUCUCAUUGGCUCCCUGACAGAAAGGAGAGACCAGAGUGGACAGCCCCUCCUUGUGGUCGGUCCAGGAGGAGGACGGCAUGCGGCUGAAGGGGUCGAGCAGCACGCGGAAGCAGCGCACCAGCAGCACGGCCAGCAGCACCAGCAGGAGCCCCACGAACACCAGG